ACACCUGGGAACAAUCAAGGGGAGGACAGGACAACGAAGAGACUCAAGGACACAAAAAACUCUAAAUGAACACAGAAAACACAGAUCCUGACAACUUUUUCCAGACUUUUUAAAUUGCGAAGGUUCCCUGUAUUUACAUUCAGACAGAAAAUGUAUUGAACUUCAGCCACUCAUAGUAACUGAAAUAUGAAGUCACUCUGCUGAAAAGCGUAAGUAUGGAAUACAUGGAGCAUCAGGAAAAACACUGUGAUGAAAAAUGCAAGCUUACUUUAUGAAAAUAAACUGACAGAAUUAAUUAAAAAGGCCUCAGGAAAAAAAGUCUCUAUUAUAACAGUCAGAAACUGUCAUAAAUCAACAGCGUCUUCAGAUUAGUUGCAAGACUGACUGCUAUGCGUCCUGCCACGGCAUCACUAUCUACAAUGAAUAUGAAGAUACUUAAUGAUGUGAGUUACGGCAACAUUUAAUUUCUAUUUAGGAUGAAUGAAGUAUUCAAAUUGAAUUUAUGUACUAUGUACUUACGUAUGUAUGUAUUUGAUAAUGUUCUAUUUACUUAUUUGAUUAUGAGCACGUUGGAGUUCCAUAUUGCUCUGUCACGGUGCCUGGCAAUCACAAUUUAGGCUAUUCUGUGGGAUUUUCCACUUUUAUCUCCCAGCAUGCCUUUCUUGACAAUGCAUGUCAGAGUCGUGAGUAAGGAGGAUUAAUACUCAGGAAAGUGCUGACAAACACAAUCUCAGAAUGAAAAGACCCAGCAGGCCUCAGCAGGUGUACUUGUCAGACUGUGCGGAAUGACGCCAUAAUGCUACCAAUUAUGCAGAAGCAGAACAGCAGCCAAAGCAAAAAGAGAAAAUUAGGAACUUUGGCAUGCUAUGUUAAAUUAGCUAUGGUUGACAUCAUCAAAUGCCCCAACCAACGCUACUAGUCCUAACUAAUUUAUCAAACUGUCGUUCAUUGUUUUGCUAAAUGUGCAUGUCUGUAUUCUCUCCAGUAUUUUCUGAAACAGAAGGAAUCCCAACAGUUGUUGAGAAUAUCAGCCUACUGUCUGUCAGCACUUAAGUCAUUUUUUACCUUCUCAUUCAAACCACGUCUGCUUCAGUGAAGCAUAACUUUGUUUUGCUGUAAAUUACAGAAGUAGAAUAAAGUAGUCAAAGUUGCCGUAUCUCUAAAAACUUUAACCUAAAAGCAAAAACAAAAAUUGCUUGCAGAGUUUAGUUAAUUUGUUAAAAAAUAAAAACGUGAACACUAAUAUAAAAACUUCAAUUAAAUCAUUCUUUUUGAGCUAAACUUCUUGAAUUUAGGCCUUAUUUUGUUGCGACUUCCUUCAACUAGCUGACUAAAAAUAAGCAGCAACAGGUUGGAAAAAAGAAUGCUUCUCUUCUACUUACAAAGAAAGACAGUGUUAGCCAUUCUGGCACUUUCUAAAAUCAUGUGUGCAGGAAGUUAAACUGCAGAGACCAUGUGAUGGAACAUUUUGGUGCUAUACCUUGAAACUGGACAAGAGCCAGUGCCCAGCAUCUUUGUUCUGAUGAAACAGGGCUAUCUGUUUCAAUUGGUACAACACUCGGAGUUUCAGUUUUUAGAGCUAUCGAAGUCUUAGUGAUACAUGAGAAUGCAAUGCUUACACUUCCGUCAAAUUUUACAUAAAACUCUUUGGUUGUUUACCAAGAUGUAGAGCAAGAUAAUUUGUGGUUUUCAACAAUGACUUACUAAACACAAUCUGUUAAAGUUACCUGUCUAGAGCAACUGCUCAAUAGAUAAAGCAGAGUAUAAAUCAAUAAAAAAGUACUAAAUUUCAACCACUUUAACAUUUUGUCCACUUUACACAGCAAAUUUGAAAUACCCCUUAAUUUGAAGUAACUUCUAAGAUGGUGGAUUACAUAAAAUGCUGUCUGGUUAUACUGGAAUGCUAAGAGAAAAGUCAGGGUAAGACCACAGCUAUUAGGUCUCAUCUUUUCUCCACUAGUAACAUCUCCACCAAUUUUCUUGUCUCCAGAAGUUAGUUAGAAGACUUUGCUGCACAUUGGUUCUGGAGACUGUGGUUAUAUCUUUCAUGGAUAUCUUUCAUGGUUAUCCAUGAAAGAUAUAACCACAGCCGUGGUGUCUCCUCAGCUUGAUGCAAGCUGUGGAGACAUUACCGCUCUAGAUAGCAACAGUGGUUUUCUUUGCUUUGCUUGGGAACCCGACCAACUUUAUCAGUCUGGUACUCAGCCCCAUGUUUUGAUGAAAAAUCUGUUAAAGUAGUUAUGGUCUUGUUGCAAAGUAACCUUAGACAGAAGUAUGUCCAUUUCACAAAGAUUGGUUUUUUAUUGCAACAUCAUAGUAUUUUGCUUUGCCAGUGCAGGGAUAGUUACAAAAAAAAAAAAAAAAAAUAUCCCAAAAACAAAGCAAAUAAAUUGUGGGCUGUGUUUUUCAUACUUUCAGUUUGUUUGCCGCCAAAGGUUGUUAUUUAAAAGCUCCUCUCCGUUCUCCGGGGAUUUGAGUGGCACUCAGCGGAGCUGACUUUUGCUCUAAUGAAAACAAAAGCAGUGUAGUCAGUUUGUGUUGUGGGCAGAGAAAACAUCAUCUGUCCCACAAUGCCAGGAUCUAGAACACAAUGAAGUCCCAUAUGAAGUUUUCCUCUAAAUUCUUCCUCAUACCGCAAGAAGCAUUGUUAUAUCGUGUCACAAGGGACAGAUAUUUACAGUCAGACAACCAAGUGCCCUUUUCUCCAAAGUGCACUGGCAGCAAUCGUGCUUACAGUUUUGGUUUACUGACAAAGUUUCAGAUGUUCCUCUUUAAUACCAAUUAGGUUACUAGAACAUACAGAUACUUAAUUUUUUUCUUUCUUGCUUGCUUUGUUUGUUGUUUUCUUCUUUGCUUUCUAUUAAAAUAAUUUAGUAUAGUCACAUCAGACUCUACCUCUCAUCUUUGUAUAUGUCUGUUAUGUUGUUGCAUCUGUAUAAACACUCAGAUCUCCCUUUAAACUAGUUGGAAGAGCUCUUGGGUAUUGUUUAGAUUACCCUGUAAUGAAUCUGCUAUUAGUGAAAUGUAACCCUGGUUCUGAGCCUCCCAAAGCUCCUGAAACCAAGAGUGUACCUUUGACAUCUAUAUUUCAGUUGCUUUUUGCCGUCUUCAUAUAUUUUUUUUCCUUCCAUAUAAUCAUUACCAUUUUGUGGUUGCCUCUCCCCAGAUUGCUAUUACCACCAUUUUGGGAGGGGAUGUGCAGGCGCAUUUGUGCUGACUUGGUGUUUUGCAAGGAAAUGAAGUCUUUCAGGAGCCAUGCCAUGUAUUACAGAGACUUGCAAAAGUAUUUAAAUCUUUUGAAUUUGGUCACAUUUUGUAACUAUGCAACUAGAAACUCGUGAAAAAUGUUGUGGAAUAACAAAUCUAAAAAAGUGUGGCAUGCAUUUGCAUUUCCCUCUUUAUUCCAGGAUUGUGCUGCAUUUAGCUUUUUCCAUCUUCCUAUAAUUCUGAGUAAAUCCCCUCUUCUCUCUCCCUGGUAAGAGACUUGUCUCUCCACAGCAUGACUCUGCCACCACCACGUUUCAUAUCGUCACUUUCUUAUGUCAUUUUGUGCCAAAAGUGAUGUUUGCAAAAAAUUACCACCUUAUUUUUGCGAAGACGAUUUAAGAAAAAGAAAACAACAACUCACUUUUGGGCGGAGGGGAAAAAGGCGCAGGCCAUUGUUUUAGGAAAGUGAUAACAUUAGGAAUUAUUAUUUUUGAAAAGUGUUAGGUUUCUGCACAGAUAGUAUUUUUCAUAUAAUCCAAAAAGUAAAAUUUAGCAUAUGACUAAAGUACCUCUCUAUAGACUUUAAAGGUCAAAAUGAUCAUUUCCCUAGGAUAAAGCACUAAAGACACUGAAUGCAUUCUCAGCAUUUAGGCCACAUGCUUUACUUUCAGCUUUACACUAAAGUAAACAAGUUCCUUCUGUCUGGAUUUUUGUAUAUUAUUGGCAGACGCAAGUCAUUGCAAUGCCAGAAGUGGUUGUAACUUUUUUCCCCCCUCCUUCCACCACAGUUGAGCAAAAGGUUUGUCUCUGUAUCCACAAUGCUUUCUUAGGGCCAGCGAGAGUCAGCACUGCCAGAAUGUAUUGUGCAACCACUGUAAUAUGAGAGUCGGCGUAGUCGGGGGGAAGAGGAGAGAGGCAGGCGCAGGCGUGGGGCGUCUGGUCCUGAUCGACACACUCCACACACGGACGGCGUGCCAAACCGACAAAGUCCAUUCCAGCGCGCUAAACCAGAUGUUGCUGUGUGAUUCAUGCCGAGGAACCGGAGCGGUGCAGCGACGAGGCCGCGCUUCUAGGCAUAGUGGUCGGGAUGUUUACAUAGCAACGGGAGUCCUGACUGUGUCUAAUUACAGGUCUGCUCUGCCCCCAUGGUGAGGCCUUUAUCUUAGCAGUACUGUCCAGGAGGAGGAUUCAUUCUAGCCCUCUGUGUUUAGUGCUCCUUUAACACUGCAUUACCAAUUUUAAUUAACAACACAGUGUAAAUGGAAGGACAGAUGACUUACUGUGUUUUUCUUUACUCAAAUAUUCUUCCAACUGUAGAAGCACAUCAACACAAGGAGAGGAAACUGCGCAUGCAUUCCUCCGAAUAGAUAUGUCAUGUCUGCCAUGUCUUGUCAGCGUCCCGAUAAGAGGAUGCUUACGCAAAUCCGAAGGAGUAAACUGAAUUCCGUCCUCCUUCCUCUCUCUCUCUCACUCUUUUUCUCCAUAGUUCCAGUAAGACGAUGUGUAAAUAAUUUUGGUCAGAGUCAGUAAUAGGAGACAUCUGGGUUGAUAGUGUGCUUUCCAUUGUGUUUGUCGGCUCUGUGGAAAAUAGUGAAUACUGAGGCCGUAGUAGAGUAAGAAUUGUAGUUACCGUACAUGUGCUGUGACUUCAUAGAAGAAAGAGAGGGGAAUAGUAAAAUGAAUAACAAUAACAAAAACAUACUUUCCUUGUUGAGAUAACCUUGGAAGGAAGGUGUUUACAUCGUCACUUUCUGGCUUUUAUUAUUAUCAGCUGUCGUUUCAGCUUUCUGAAUGACUCUGAAGGUCUUUCUAGGGGGUGUGAGCUAACGGCCUCCAGGGUGAUAUCGUUCAUCAAACCAGCCCCCUCCUUUGGCCUCAACUUCCCCACUCCACUUCCACCAGUCCAGUCUUGCUGAAAGACCUGGUCCAAGUUUUUGCAAUGGUUCUGUGGAAAACCCAAUGUUUGUCCAAUGAAUGACAGUGUGUCCUCAUUAGAUGUCCUUAGAUAACAAAAUAGAUUCUCAGAAAAACAGUGCACUCUUUUUCCACUUGUGUUCCAGAAUUUGAUUUUGGAUGUAAAAGUAGGAAGAAAGAAGAUUUAGAGGAAAUAAAAGAACUCACAGGUGCCGUGAAAAUUUGAGAAAGUUAUCAGAUAGGCUGGUGCUUGGCUAGAAAAUAGCUAAAUCUUCUUAUUUAUUGUGAUUUAUUGUUAUUCUAGAAAGUCAUCAAUUGGUUGAAAAGUGAAGAGCAGGACAGGGAGAAGUACAUCGAAUCGGGGGUCACUGUUUUGCUAGUUUUAGCAAUUAGAGGGUGUUUUCUCAACUGAUGGUCUGGUAGACUCGUUUUGAUAGGGGACCAAAAUUGUUACAUUUUCAUCUGACGCAGAUCGCUUUCACACUGCUUGGUUGUCAAACAAACCAAGCCUUUUGAAAAACCAGUUUAUCCCCUCACUUAUGGUGGCUCUGCACUAAGAACCACUGAAUGAAACGACACAAAAACCUCAGACACUGAGCGCAAUUUCCUUCUUCAUGAAAUGUAAACAAAUAGAGUGAUGUCAAAUUGUCUUUGGCAACAGAAACCUAGGUUUUUAGGUGGACCAUUUAAAACCUGGUUUUAGCUGGUUAGGUUGAGUCCUCUCAAUGGCUAACACAUUGAUAGGACUCAAUGUGUUGAUAGGACUCAAUGUGUUAGCCACCGAGUCCUAUCAGAUUCUUAGUAAUCUUUUAAUUCUUACCGAUCUGUCUCCAUUCAGUCAUUGAAUCCCAAUCCAAUUAAUCACAUGACCUAAGUGUAUUUACUCCCCCUGCUUGCUUCAUUUCAUUGCUAAUUUCUACUGAUGCCUGUCUCUGAGCCUAGUUAUGCCUCAAUUUCUCUUGCUGCAUAGAUUUUGGACGUGGACGUUGCUUUGGCCCACUAAGCAACCACACACAUUGAAAUCAGAUUUAGGAAGCUGGCACCCUCUACCUACAGUAUGUAACUUUGGCAUUGUAACAGAAACUUUGUUUUGUUGAGAAAGAGGUCACAAACUGAACAAAGGUCUCUUGUGGAAAUAUAGAUGGUUAAUAUGCACACUAUAGACUGGCAAUGAUGUUAACAUAAAUGGUUAGAUACUAGUACAACACUCUGAGAACUACGUACAAACAUACAACAGAAUGACAUCUGCCUGUUAAUGUUAAAAGAACUGUUGCUGAUAAAAACAUAAUUUUAAACAAAUCUAGCUACCACUUUGCACUUUCCAUAAUGCAUGUUGCCUGGCUAUAUAAUGUGUUUUUCUUUUUGGUCAGAAAGACUUAGCUUAUUUGCUGUCUGGUGCCUGUCCUGACCCGCCUGCUAUUUAUCACACUUUGCAUUUUGUUAACUGUCCAGUUAAGAGGUUCUCCCAGCUCCUCCGUACGUGUUAAUACUUGAGGCAGAAUGGCAUUUGACAAGUCAUUCCUCUUCUUUUCCCUCCCUUUUAUUGAGGAAGGCCCGUGGAAUGAAGCCUCUUCCAGUCUCUGUGUGAAAGCGGCAUUUGCCUUGGCCCUUUUCACCUCUGGCUCUGUCACACUGGCCUUCCUCACUGGCACAGAGACUCUGCAUUGUUUCAGCUUUUGCUCUCUGUUUAUGGUAACCUAUAAUUUUUUUCUUGAGCUUAAAAGGAAGAGAUUGUCAGUUUGCAUGCACAAUUAUAACAAGGAAAAUACAUAUGUCUAUACCUAGAAGCACCAUCAUUGUGAUCCAAACCAGCAUACUUUCACCUAACUUUGUUGCUCAAUGUCUGUUGAUACAAAGACAAUACAAAUACAUACAAGCCAGAGACAUCUGAGUAAAACCAGAUUAGGAAAAUAUUACUUAACUGGGACAUUUCUAACUAGGAACAUGUCUACAGUUUAUGAAAGUUUUUUUCAAAGCCCAGCUAAAGAUGGGGAUUUUUCUUUAGCAGAGAUGCACCAGACAUUUGUGGUGAGUUUCCAAAUCCCCAUUUUUAAAAACAGCUACUAUUGGUCUGCCAGUAAAGAUUUUGGGAAACCUCAAUGUCUCUUUAAUCACAAUAAUUAUCAAUUUUUCUAAGGAUUUCUUUUUCAAGUUUUCUUGCUGUGAGCCAUUAGUUAUAUUAGAAGCAGAUUUGAAAUCACACUGUGUGUGUAAGAUAGCAGUUUUUUCUUACAAUAGUUUUAAACAUGUUAAAAAAAACCUAAAGGAUCAAUCAAACUGUGUAGUUCAGAAAAUAAACUUUAAAAUACUUUACCAUUCAUAAAUUGUUUGUUUGAACAGCAGCAAAAUACAGUACAUUAAAGACCUGCUGUCAUCUUGUCAAACCUCCAGAUCAAUCAGAUAUUUUGGUUCAAGUCUACUCUGUAUCCCCAGAGUCAGAACCAAUCUGGAACAAACUUCCAGAAAACUUCAAAAAUGCUGAAGCUCUGAAUUUGUUUGCCCUCUUUUUCAGUUAGACAAAACAUUACUGAUUUUCUUUGACAGAUGAUUCUUUAUCUAUCCUAAAAAGUUUGGUAGAGAAGGACCAAACUCUAGGACAUGAAAGGCAGAAAAAGCUAAAUGCCAAAAUCUGUUGAUAGCAGACUCAAUAAAAGGAUUAUACACCUCCACUGAAAAUACUGUUCUUUUUUUAGCUUCUUACCUUUAAACCUUUUACACUUAUUGUGCAACACUAAUAUUCUAAAUAUCUAAUUUUGAAUUUUCUUCCUACAGUAACAAGAUCCACACUGAAGAGUGUUUAAUUAAAUUCAGAAAUACUUUAUUGAUCAUAAUGGGAAUAGAUGUUGGGUUUUUGAGUUUCCAACUAACUAGUCAGAUGAGCUCAAACAACUUCAGCUAAAAUUUUGCAAUACUGACCACCAGAUCUCUGUUUGAGUCAAUGCAUCUGUUUAAUGCAUCCCCACUUUUUGGCAAACAUAUUUGUGGAUUAUUAAUACUAUAUUUGAGGAGACCAGAUAAUCCAGCAGAAAUGAAAGAGCUGAUACUAAACGGGAUGAGACAAACUGCCCCAGGGCACACCUCCCUGUUUCCCUUACUGGGUUUAAAUCCUAAAGUUAAUACUAGGAGGCUCCCGCUGAACCCCCGCCAAGCUGCUGUCAAAUACAAUGGCUUUUUCAAGCCUCUAUGACUGAUGAGAGAGAUGUCCUUCGAGCAGCUCUAACCCUUUCUGCAUAUUGCCAAGCACAGGCUGUUAUGCCUAGGUACUUUUAGUAUCAAACUGCAUUGGAUUAACUGAGAGCAGUUGCAUUUGACUUCUGGUGUCUCACUUUUCAUGCAGUUGCUUGGUUUAGAUAAUGUCUCCCAGCUCAAGCAUAUUAAUCCUGUGACACCACUGUUGCUACUCUAGCAUUCCUGCUGUUUUUUGUUUUCCUGCAAAGUGCAUUAACCUGUAAUCUAUCUAAUGACUCAUCAUGGCGUUUAACCAUUUUCUCCUUUGUGUCGCUUCUUGUGCCGACUACAUUUUUUAGUCUUGAUAUUAUAGGUCGAGACAGCACAUGUCAGCACCCAUCAGUAACGACAUAUGAAGUGGCUCCUGUGUUCCUGUGGGAAUCGGCCUCGUCAUCCAUCUCUUCAAAGCCCUCUGAUUUACGUCUGUAUUUAGCAGCAGAGAGGAAUGCAGCACUUUCUAUCUUCACUGCUUGCCUGUGGCUACAUAUGCUCUGUGUAAUUGGUCAUGUAGUCUUUUUUUUUCGUAACAUCUUUGAUGGUGCCCAACAGGUGCCCAUGACAUUUGUCAGGGCUAAUUCACAGGGAGCCUCUUUACUGUCAGUACCAAUAAAAUGUGUUACGUUCCACCCAUUCUCUAGAAUAUAGGGCUGACCAAUUCAUUACAAAGCAAAGCACAAUAGUAGCAUGUGCUGUUGUGAUGCUACUGUCAGUGACAAGAAGACUAUAAACUUCCUGCUAGGUUUAUUUUCCCUAAUAUUGAGGUAAAAAGAACGCUCAAAGGUUGGUGUAAAGGGACAAAAGUCACUUAUUCAUAAUGAUGUGGCUGUAGAAACGAUUGUGUUAGCAACUUUGCUUUAGCUUUAGCUAAUGUGAUAGCAUUAGCAGCAGAAACUAGCAGUAGUUUUGAUACUGUGUGUAUUAUGUAGGGAUGGGCAUUUAUCUGAUCAUUUAUCGCUAAAGUGAGCAAAAAAUCGUGUGUUAAAUCUAUCUUGACAAAUUCCAAAUUACAAGAAAUGAUGUUUGAAAGAACUGAUUUUGGAGGUCGUUUUUGGUUGUAUGUUGCAUUGAGGAACACAACACUGCCCCACCAAAACCUCCUGCAUUGUCUGCCAGGGCAGAUAGCGCUGCUAAUUUAGCAAACUAAUAUCAACUUGCUAUACUUGUGUUAUUUUAUAUAAUAAGGGUGAAAAAUUUUAUUAUUCUGCAAUCAGUACUUGAAAAGUAUUACUAAAUGUAGUGUUUAUUCUAUAUUUUUUGCAGAAGUGUAUUUCUUAUAAGAACAAUAACUAAACAUUUUUGCAACUACGGUAACCCAAAAGCUAUUUUAGGAACAGUAAGGACAAUUUCUUGUCUGAAGCUACACCAUAUUACAUAAUGCUGCUCUAAAGUUUUAAGCAAAUACUGUGAUAUUCUCAAGGUAUUUUCACUGAGAAUCUCAUGUCAGAGCAUGUGCACCAUUCACUUUGUCAUUCUGAGAAUCUUGAAAAGUUGUCUGCAUGUGAAUGUUGGUUUUAAAUGUAAAACACAUGAUCUCUCGUGGCUUGUUUUAGGCUUUUAAGUGUUAUUUUUUCUGCUCCAUUCUUAUGAUUUUUCCAUUAAAAUGACAAAGAUUCUUCUUUUAUUUUGAAUUUAGUUUCUAUGUUGUCUGUGUAGGUUUUUUUCACCAUUCACAGGAGUGUAAUUUAUUAUCUCAGCACCUGUUAACAUACUUUGUGAGUGAAAGAGACUUUGUCUGGAUAUCCAGUCUUGUGUCGCAUCUCCUUCAGACAGUCAGAACAAUCUGUAGAAUUUCCUCUCUGUAAACUGUCUCGUCAAUUAUACGCCAACUGAUGGGAUUAUGCAGACGACUUCGCCAAAUAGGAGCCUGUGGCUGAUAUUAAGUUACAAAGAGAGUUUUGUUGGAUAUUUGACUUCAGAUUUCACACUUUGAUCUGGGAGUUUACGACUUCCCUAAUGGAGUGUCUGCUCGACCCCUUUCCCUCCUCACUUCAUUCCAUUCCAGCUUCCUUCUCUUCGGUUUACAGUCCAGAGAUAAAUCCUUUUCAUAGGCACGCUGGUGAACUGAACUUACACUACCCUUAUGAAAGGCUUUAGUUACUUCCUGUCGUAGUGGCUCAAGGUUCAGGGGUGAGUGGGCUGCGCUAAUGUCAACACUGCAGAGCUUAAGUCCAAACCCUAGGAAAACAUAAGAGGGUAGAAUAUUGUGUACUUCUAGCUGACUUGAAGUGGUCCAUGGGAAUUAGAGAAGAGGAUUUGAUACAAUACCUCAAAUGCCAACUGUUUCAUUUUGCUCUGGAUGCAGAUGUAUUGAGAAACUUUUUAUUUGUUCCAUUAUCUUAAUAUUGGAUAAACAUUGUUUAUUAAAAAUGUCCAGGAUAA